GACGAACGCUGGCGGCGUGCUUAACACAUGCAAGUCGAACGGAAAGGCCCUGCUUUUGUGGGGUGCUCUAGUGGCGAACGGGUGAGUAACACGUGAGUAACCUGCCCUUGACUUUGGGAUAACUUCAGGAAACUGGGGCUAAUACCGGAUAGGAGCUCCUGCUGCAUUGUGGGGGUUGGAAAGUUUCGGCGGUUGGGGAUGGACUCGCGGCUUAUCAGCUUGUUGGUGGGGUAGUGGCUUACCAAGGCUUUGACGGGUAGCCGGCCUGAGAGGGUGACCGGCCACAUUGGGACUGAGAUACGGCCCAGACUCCUACGGGAGGCAGCAGUGGGGAAUAUUGCACAAUGGGCGGAAGCCUGAUGCAGCAACGCCGCGUGCGGGAUGACGGCCUUCGGGUUGUAAACCGCUUUCGCCUGGGACGAAGCGUGAGUGACGGUAAUGGGUAAAGAAGCACCGGCUAACUACGUG
rnacentral:rRNA from 1 species